rnacentral:rRNA from 1 species
CACGUAGGGGGCAAGCGUUGUCCGGAUUUAUUGGGCGUAAAGAGCUCGUAGGUGGUUCGGUAAGUCGGGUGUUAAACCCCCAGGCUCAACCUGGGGACGCCACUCGAUACUGCUGUGACUAGAGUCCGGUAGGGGAGCGUGGAAUUCCUGGUGUAGCGGUGAAAUGCGCAGAUAUUAGGAAGAACACCAGUGGCGAAGGCGGCUCACUGGAUCGGUACUGACGCUGAGGUGCGAAAGCGUGGGGAGCAAACAGG